CGGAGGGUGCAAGCGUUAUCCGGAUUCACUGGGUUUAAAGGGUGCGUAGGUGGGCAGGUAAGUCAGUGGUGAAAUCUCCGGGCUUAACUCGGAAACUGCCAUUGAUACUAUCUGUCUUGAAUACCGUGGAGGUUAGCGGAAUAUGUCAUGUAGCGGUGAAAUGCUUAGAUAUGACAUAGAACACCAAUUGCGAAGGCAGCUGGCUACACGAAUAUUGACACUGAUGCACGAAAGCGUGGGGAUCAAACAGG
rnacentral:rRNA from 1 species